GCAGCUGAAACACAAACAUCUGCCGUUCACUUGUGUGAACCUCUGUGAUGGCAUCGUUGCAGGAUGUGCCCCGUGCCCACCAGAGGGAGUAUGAAAAACACGUGGAGAACAUUGACAGUUCAAAGAUAACUGCCCAGGAAUGAGAGAAGCCUUCAGAUGCUGCUAUCAACUACAGGUUCUACAGGGGCAUGAGAACAUACAUAGAGAACUUAGUAAACUGUUUCAAUGAAAAAGUACGUGUGUUUUCCUUCCCUUCGCUGCCACCCAUUUCUUUAAGAUGAGGAACCUGCAUUCUCACAAGGCAAAAGUGAGAUUUCUUAUUUGGAAUUGAUGAUGAGAGACGACCAGUUAUGAGUCAAUUCUAUCAGAAACUUGAGUGUCACAGGAAACAAAGGAGGAACAGACCACCCCUCACAGUAACCUAAAAUGAUUAAGCUGGGAAUGGCAAACCAAGUAAUGAUGGAGUGGAGAGUGAUGAAAAGAUGAAGCUUCUGAAAAU